AUACACUUCUGGAGCAAUACCGGACCCACGUUCUCGGUAUGCGUACGUCAGCCAAAUCCGAAUCGAACGCAGGCCAGCAGGUGCGCCAUGUCCAAAAUUUUCUUCAACACAUGUGGGGAAAGAUGUCUCCUCCAACUCUGAACCUGAGCUUUCUAACGAACCACACAAAGAUUUAUAGGUCCAUUUUAAUUACAUAUGUGUGUGUGUGUGUGUGUGUGUGUGUGUGUGUGUGUGUGUGUGUGUGUGUGUAUUUAUGCUAUUAUCACUCACAUCAUUAAGCAAUACUUAUUGAAAUUCAUUUCUCUUUCUUACCAGCUGGGUCUCAAACCUUUCGAGCCGAUUUAGGGCCACCACUGUGAAGGUUUACCUGGGCAACGUGUCAAAAUUCAUCAGUUAUUUGACCCUUGACCGGCCGCGUGGUACAAAAAUUGGAAACAACAGUUUGCGGGCCCUUUCUGUUGCAUUGAGGCGGUUGAAUGACACAAUACUCACUGAGGUGAAGCAUCGAAGGCUGGAGGUGCGUCAUGAAAAGUCCAAAAAUAUGUUAAAAAUGACCACAUUAGAACAACUCGUCCGGAAGACAUCAGAGCGAAUUCCCAAGGCUUUGGAUUACCUGGCGCACAACAGCAAUUCGGAUUCGCUGAGGUCAUGUCUUGGGUACAUAGCCACGUAUUUAUACGCCACUACUGGUCAUCGGAGUGCUGUGGUUUCGAACAUGACCGUUCGCGAGUUCCAGGAUGCUGACGAGCACGACGGGAGAUACGUCAUAAACGUGUGAAGGAUCACAAGACUGCAGCAUCCUUUGGGAUGGCAAAAAUCCCAUUGUCUUCAUCAGAGAUGGCCUGGCUGAAAAAGUUCUUUGAUCUGAGACCCACGCUGCCAGGCUACACGGAAGAGGUGCCGACUUUUUUCUUCACCUCGAAGGGUCAGGUCUUCUCCAAGAUUAGCCAGGUGGUCGCCGAGACGUGUCAGAAGCUUGGCUUCAGCCCAAACAUUUCGGUGACCUCCAUCAGAAGCGCUGUUGCGACCUGUGUGGAGCGUAACCUGCCGACAGACGAACGUCGGGAUGUCACAAACCUUAUGUGCCACUCGGAGGAGGUGGCGAACCGAUAUUACGUUGGAGAACGGUCCGUGAUCGAGGCACAUGCCGCUCGUCUCAAACUGCGCUCUGCACUGGGCCUUGGGGGUGCCACGCCAGGUGACCGUGGGCAUUCCUGCAAUAACGUGGACCACAACGAGGAGCAGCAGCAGCAGCAGCAGCAGCAGCAGAAGGAGGAGGAGG
rnacentral:lncRNA from 1 species